rnacentral:rRNA from 1 species
AAGUUGAGCGAUUUACUUCGGUAAAGAGCGGCGGACGGGUGAGUAACGCGUGGGUAACCUACCCUGUACACACGGAUAACAUACCGAAAGGUAUGCUAAUACGGGAUAAUAUAUUUGAGAGGCAUCUUUUAAAUAUCAAAGGUGAGCCAGUACAGGAUGGACCCGCGUCUGAUUAGCUAGUUGGUAAGGUAACGGCUUACCAAGGCGACGAUCAGUAGCCGACCUGAGAGGGUGAUCGGCCACAUUGGAACUGAG